rnacentral:misc_RNA from 1 species
AACUGAUACUACCUGCGGGAACCUGCGGAAGGAUCAUUAUCGAGUUUACAACUCCCAAACCAUUGUGAAUCUUACCUUUUCGUUGCUUCGGCGGGAUCGCCCCGGGCGCUUCGGUGCCCCGGAUUCAGGCGCCCGCCGGGGGACCUAAACUCUUGUAUUAUAGUGGAUUUCUGAGUGGAUUACACAAAUAAUCAAAACUUUUAACAAUGGAUCUCU